rnacentral:rRNA from 1 species
CCCUUAGAUGUUCUGGGCCGCACGCGCGCUACAAUGAUGAAUUCAACAAGUUUAUAACCUUGGUUGAAAAGCCUGGGUAAUCUUUUGAACUUUCGUCGUGAUGGGGCUAGACCCUUGCAAUUAUUGGUCUCCAACGAGGAAUUCCUAGUAAACGCAAGUCAUCAGCUUGCAUUGAUUACGUCCCUGCCCUUUGUACACACCGCCCGUCGCUCCUACCGAUCGAAGAGUUAGGUGAAUUGUUUUGAUCGAUAAGAUUUGACUAUGGUCAACUCUCGUUGUGAAAUUCUGUGAAUCUGACUGUUUAGAGGAAGGAAAAGUCGUAACA